rnacentral:rRNA from 1 species
UACGGAGGGGGCUAGCGUUGUUCGGAAUUACUGGGCGUAAAGCGCACGUAGGCGGCUUUGUAAGUUAGAGGUGAAAGCCCAGGGCUCAACCCUGGAAUUGCCUUUAAGACUGCAUCGCUUGAACAUCGGAGAGGUAAGUGGAAUUCCGAGUGUAGAGGUGAAAUUCGUAGAUAUUCGGAAGAACACCAGUGGCGAAGGCGACUUACCGGACGAUUGUUGACGCUGAGGUGCGAAAGCGUGGGGAGCAAACAGG